GCGGCAUCGUGCAUUUUUCUAGAAAGUCUCCUAAAUCCCGUGUGUAUUUGACAUUUGCAACACAUCUCGAUUCAGAGCAGCCGCCUUCCGAGGACUCGGGGGCUGGUGGCAGCUGUGUGGGACACAGCAGCUGUGGGGAUGGGGCAGAGCAGCAGCCCACAGAGGGCGAGGGCAGGGGCCGGAGACCAGUCAUACCACAGAACCCUGGAGGGGCUUGAGGAAGGGAUGGCAGGAGAGCUGAGGAGCUUCUCUGCCCUGUGGGGCAGGCUGCUGGGUGGGUCAAAGCCCCAGAAGGGCUGCACCUCCAAGAAGGGAGGUAGAGGAGAGGUGGGAGAGAGGAGGGUAGGGAAGGCAGGAGGGGGGCCUUGUUGGCUAAGGGCUGAGGCCUCCCCAGGGAGAAGAGUAGGGCAGCCCAGCAGAGUCCUGCUGGGAAGAGGCCUCACUGGGAGAGGGCCGGACAGAGCCUAUAUCCCAACCCCACUUCAAAGGGGAUAAAGUCUGGAGAGUGUAGAUGGGGGACCUGGGGUGGCAGGACAGGGUCAGAGCUGGGACAGGGGCCCUGUACCCCUGCACCGGGGACAGUGUCCUGGAAUUAGCCCUCAGCUCCUGGCUUUACCUGCACAGGAUGGAGGAGCUGCGCUUGCAUCCUACUGUACUUUGGACAGCUGCUAGGCAUGUGUGACCAGAUCAGCUUCCCGCUGGGCCAGGCUGGCUACCCUGUGUACAAGUAUAGGGCUGUAGGUGCUGUCAUACGUGUCCUGCCACGCCCUGGAGAACAGCAGCCUCGUGAAGGGUGCCCGUCGGGAGCGGCAGCUGCUGUGGCUGGAGCUCUUGAGGUGGCUCCGAACUGGCAACCUCUUCCAUUGCCCCACCUAG
rnacentral:lncRNA from 1 species